rnacentral:lncRNA from 1 species
GGGUUUUCCAGUUGUAUGCACAGGGUCAGGAAGGGGAUCGAAUCUCCUGCUGGGAUCACAGGCUGCUAAGGACAAAACAACCUCCAGGAAGUCAGUGUGGGCCCCCAGUGUGGGACUCAGGUGAGACUCACAACUCUGCAGCUUGUUUCCGGUUGCCUGGAAACUCUGCUUCCCAAUCUCACCCAGAACCCCAGCUGCACGUGUUCCAGAACCACAUGUUAAGUCCAGCAGUGUGGACUACAAGGCCAGGAAAGCCCAGCGGCCACAGUAUGGGUUAGGGCCUGCUGUGCCUGGCUGCGUCCUGUGUGCUUUCUCCAGCAUGGGCUCCAUCUGGCCCAGGCCAGGAUGUGCCCCCAAGAACUGAUGAGCAUGCACAGGGCCUGGAUUCUACACCAGCACCCAAAACCAGAGAGCUGACAAGAAGCCAAGGCCCAGAGAGGGCGCCUGCAUUAACACCCUCAAUCCUUACCACCACAAAGGAAACCAGCUACAAUGCCAUGCAGACACAACACCUGCCCCUGCUGGGAGGCCAGGGUGGCCCCUCCACCCUCUGGGGACUGGAUGUGGUCAACCUAUCCCAGCCUCCUGCUUUCUCUGCCCAUUCCAGCACCAGGUCCUAUGGUCACAGUGUCCAGGUAUGGUGUGAACCCC